ensembl:lncRNA
CAAGCAUGGAUUUGUUCUAGAAGGCAUCAAUUACUACGGCAACCACGCAGCCCAGAUUUUCCAAGACAGUCUCCAUCCCUUGGAAUCUGAUUCUUUUCAGUGGCGGUGAUCUGUUAAAUGUCUGAAUGCAGUUUAAUGUUAUGGAGUUAUCUGAUGUGGCACAUAAAUUAAUCUACAAAUCCAAACAAAUGCUUUAUCACGCCGUAACUCGUUUUUUUUAAUGUGGUCUUUUCCUACAGGUUAAGAACUAGUUAUGAAGAUAAGAACUCAGGAAGGUGGGUGUCAGAAGUGGGGCCGCUGGAAGACUGUGAAGGGGAGAGAUAGAUGUAAGCUUCCUGGUUGGAGAGCUUGACAUGUUUUAUUGGACGUAAAUCCAAGGGGCCAGUUCUCAGGUUUUUGCUAUAUUCGCUAAUUUUGGAUAUACUCAGGGGAUAAGAGGAAACAGACUUUGAUCUAGGAUUGGAAUUUUGAUGGGCAUGAUGGAAGUCGGAGUAAAAAAAAAUCCAGCUCCAGAGGGAAGGUGAAUGUUGGAGGGAUGAGGCUGGGAGCCCUGGAGGUGAGCUGAAAAAUGGAUCCGUCUGGACUGGCGUCUCCUCUGUCUGGACUGGCGUCUCCUCUACACCUCUUCGCUGCUGACAUUUUGGAGGGCUUUGCACUUUGGUUUUAAAAGGAAGCUGUUCUGUGCUCUUUACAGCUGCCUGCAUGCUGCUGUAGGAGAUGGCAUCUCAAAACACUUGCCUCCAACUCUACUUUUCAGUUGUAAUACAUUCUCCAAGUAUGCUUUGUGGACCACCAGCAUCUGAAGUUGUGGGGGGACUGUAAAUUACAGAAUCCCAGCUUCCUCUUCAGACGGACCAUCUGAGUCUGAAUUGGGUCUCAGGACCUAGGGAUCUGCAUUUUCAACACACACCUAAUUGAUUUUUAAGCACACCGAAGUUUGGGCACCACUGCUGCAGAAUCUCAGAAGGUGGCGCUGAGCUCUGAACCCAGUCUUACCUCCGCAGUUCCUGAACGGGGAGGAUCAUCUCAGAGCUCCCAGGCCACAUGCCUGAAUUCCUUCUGCUUGAGUGGCACAGGCAUGUGCAUGCCUUUAUAAGGCCAACGCCCUGCCAAGAGAUAACCACAGGUGGACAUGACCCCUGUGAGACUCAGAAGACGUUCACCAGUUCCAAAGAUAGCAACCCCGAACCCGUGCUGAGGACUCUGUCUGUCUAUGUGUGCCUGGCUGCACAGCCUUAUACAGAGAGCGGAGGCCCAGAAGGAUCUGCGGGAGAACGGCGUGUCCAUCGCGCUCCCGAAAUGUGCCAUGUUCUCAGAGCUCUGAUAGGUGAGGUCACCAUGUGUCCACGUCUGUCUCUGGAAGUUGCCCAGCCCAGGGUGGUGAAGAGCCUAUAAAUGCUUGUAGCAGGCAGAGCUGGGCAGCUGAGCUGUAACUUUUGCAAAUGGGAGCAUACAUCUGGAAUGGUUUCCUGUGGCAACAGGACUGUCGUUUGUAUUAUCGACAGAUCAAAGGAUAAACCACAGAACCUCUUUGGGUUCUGGCGGAGAUUUACCAGCGGCACCGUGAUAGAGUUUCACUCCCAAGGCUUUCUGGAGAGGGAGCAUGGUAGAAAGGAAGGAAGCUUUGUUGUCACAGAGAGAAACAAAACAUCGCAAAUGCUGGCAAAGCUCCCCAUCUACCCUUCCACGGUCCCUUUCUCUUACCUGUCCCCAUCCAGAGGGAACCACCAUCUCCAGUUUGAUGUUUACCUUUAAGGGCAUUUAAAAAUUCUGUGAACAUUCCAUGCGUGAAUCCAUGUUUUCAAAGUUUUUUAUUGAUGUCAUAUUGUAUGUAUUUUUUCUAUCAUAAACAAAUAAUGCAGUAACUCUCUUGUACCAUUUUCCCUGUGGAAUAUCUGCAAGAGCUUUUCUAUUGUUUUCCUAGAAGCAGAACUGCUGGAUCGAAGAGCAAGUAUUUUCUUUCCAGUGAUUGUACCAAAUUUCCCUUCAAAUACUCGUGUGUAAUUUUGGACGAUGACGAAUAAGGCUGCUGUGAACAUUCUGGAACAUGUCUUUUGGUGCACACGGAGAGGAAAUGCUAGGCCCUCGGGCAAGCACAUGUUCAUCUUUAGUCAUGUACUUAGUACUUUCGUACGGUUUAGUCCUUCUUGUGCUGAUGCUGUGGGUGCCCACAGAUCCUCCCUCCACGACCAAACACUGGUUCCCCACCUGUCAGGACGUUGGCUGCUGAUGGCUCUCAGCUGAGACCCCUCCCCAGGCACUGCACUCAGCUGAAGGGAGCUGCCUGGCCAGACAAUGUACC